GGUCUAGAAGUAGCAGUGUGCCGUCAUGGCAUUAUCCUUCGGGCCCUGAAUAUGUACAGGCAAGUAUAAAAACAUUCUUUGUAUUUUCACUACAGUUACAUUUAUUUCAAAUUCUCAUGAAGUGAUACUUAAUUACUGCAAUGCUGUUAUGCAAUCCCACCGGGGUGAGAUCUUUGCGUAUCCGAUGUUCCUGCAGAAGGAAAUCACAGCCAGUCCACCAGCCUUCUUCUGUAUGGAUGUAAUAUGCAAGUACUGGCCUUACAUCCAGAGAAUUGCUGAAGCCUGCCCAGAGUACAGACACCUCACCACCAUGAAGCCUCUGUUGUCUGUGCUCCAUGCAAAAGCACAUGGCAUCAAGUGUGAGGUAUUUUUUACUCAUCCCUUGUGUUUCGAUGCCAGUAAUUUUUCCAUGUCAAAUCCAAUCUCCCUUCUUACAGAGCCAAAACAACAAUGCAUGUUUCCCUGAACUCAGAUUAAUAGACUGCACUGUAUGUUCCUAAAAUGUCAGAUAAAAUGGGGAGGAGGCAAUCAGGAUGGAGCGGGUUGUACCCUGGGAGAGGAGGUGGAAAUGGUUAAUUCCUUCCUGUCCAGGACCGCCAUAAUCACAACGUUCAUGGGCAAAGGAGCACGCACAGACAUGCUAACUGUCCAGAUUAUGGACUGGAAUAAGAGAAAGAUGGAGAACAUGUGUAAAACCUUGUGCACAAUAUUUCGUAAGGUAACCGUCUUCUUUCAGAAAAGCGGCCAAAUUGCAGUAUGAGUGACAAAUGUCACUCUUAAAGUUUAAUUUCCCCCAUCCCUCCUAUUCCUACAGACACAGCAGAAUCUUGAGAGGGAGAGGCAGAGCCUAGAGACCCUCAAAGGAGAGAUGUCUGCAAAUGAUGGGACUGUGGAACAGUGGGUCAGAGAUGUCAAGGACUGGGCUGAACAUGAACCCCCUGCAGCCAGUAAUGAUUCUCUGCUACAAGUGAGAUCAAGAAUUGAGGAGACUUCUCUGGGCCUAAGGCAGCGUAGGGCACGGCUUUAUAGCCAAACAGGUACAAAGUUUGUGAAAGACAUCAAAUGGUUUAACAAUGUUUUUCACAUUUGUUUAUUAGGUUUCUUCAUGUAUCGGAUUGUGUCUUAUCUGAUGUCUCCCAGACAGCAACUCAGGAUGCUCUGUGAUCCGCAACCGCAUGUGGAGGGAACAGAAACCGCUUGAGAUUUAUGUGGCUCAGCAUGAUACAAUGGUCCAACCCCAAGAGCAAAUCGGCCCUGUCAGUAACACAGUACAAGCUGGCUACAUAUUUCCUUGGCAGUUACCCCCCAAUGGUAUGUUAUACAUUGCAUUUUUGAACCUUCUUAUUGGUAUCACCGAAUAGCCUCAACUUUUUAUGAAUGAGUUUAGAGAAGGGUCUGGAUGACAAAAGAGGUGAUGG
rnacentral:lncRNA from 1 species